UACGUAGGGGGCAAGCGUUGUCCGGAUUUAUUGGGCGUAAAGAGCUCGUAGGCGGUCCUUUAAGUCUGAUGUGAAAUCUCAGGGCUCAACCCUGAAACUGCAUCAGAUACUGGGGACUUGAGGUAGGUAGGGGAAGGUGGAAUUCCCGGUGUAGCGGUGAAAUGCGUAGAUAUCUGGAGGAACACCGGUGGCGAAGGCGGCAUCCUGGACCGACACUGACACUGAGGAGCGAAAGCCGAGGGGAGCAAACGGG
rnacentral:rRNA from 1 species